AGAGGUUGCCCUUGGUGAAUUCG
rnacentral:ncRNA from 2 species